GUCAGGCAUUGUGGCAGGCACCUAUAGUCCCAGCUACUUGGGAAACUGAGGUAGGAGGAUCGUUUGCAUCUAAGAGACUGAGGCUAUAUAGUGUGCUAUUAUGAUCAAGUGUCUGAAGUACGGUGUCAUCAAUACGGUGACCUCUCAGGUCUAGGGACCACCAGGUUACCUAAGGAGGGGUGAACCAGACGGGGUUGGAAAUGGAGCCGGUGAAAACUCCCAUGCUGGUCUAUAGAGCACUGGCUGCACUCCAGCCUGGGCAACAUCGUAAGACCCUAUCUCUA
rfam:Otolemur garnettii contig174450, whole genome shotgun sequence.